rnacentral:rRNA from 1 species
UGGGGAAUAUUGGACAAUGGGCGAAAGCCUGAUCCAGCCAUGCCGCGUGUGUGAAGAAGGUCUUCGGAUUGUAAAGCACUUUAAGUUGGGAGGAAGGGCAGUAAGCGAAUACCUUGCUGUUUUGACGUUACCGACAGAAUAAGCACCGGCUAACUCUGUGCCAGCAGCCGCGGUAAUACAGAGGGUGCAAGCGUUAAUCGGAAUUACUGGGCGUAAAGCGCGCGUAGGUGGUUCGUUAAGUUGAAUGUGAAAGCCCCGGGCUCAACCUGGGAACUGCAUCCAAAACUGGCGAGCUAGAGUAGGGCAGAGGGUGGUGGAAUUUCCUGUGUAGCGGUGAAAUGCGUAGAUAUAGGAAGGAACACAAGUGGCGAAGGCGACCACCUGGGCUCAUACUGACACUGAGGUGCGAAAGAGUGGGGAGCAAACAGG